CGAACGAACGAACGAACCAUCACUUGCACUGAAUAUUUGUCUCAUUUUUUUGCAGUUUCAUCAACAGUACCAAGCUACUGGAGACAACCUCUCACUGAUCAUAAGUAAUAGACUGCCCACUUAAUGCUGGCACAUGAUCUGCAUCAUUGUCACAUGCUCAAUUUUAAUUGUGCUAAUUGUCUUUACUCGCCUUUUCAGGAUAAUGAAUGUGGAAGUGCAACGAAUGCAGUCUAGAAUUAGCUAGCUAGGUAGCUAGCAUUUCAGAGGCCUAUGAUAGAAGACUUCAAAAAUAGAUGGCCUGCCCUGUACGAGCAGAGUGAAGUAAGUAAAUGUUUGUGUGCUGUCAAGUUUUAUUAUCGUCCAUGGUGAGUAAUGGCUGCAAUUUGUAUUGCAAUAACCCUGCUUCCCUUUAUGAGUAACAUGUCUGUGCAUUGUUGAACAUUUUUCAGGUGAAUUCAGAGUUCUUGCAGAUCACCACGAAGCCACUACAAUCUAAGUUCCUGUCACAGAUGGACCACUUCUCAGACUGAUUCAGAUCUUCCAGAGCAAAGGAGGAGUUAAAGGGCAAAAGAUCAAGCGUGAUGACAUCAACCUAAGGAGAGUGCAUCCUGAGAAGAAGCCUUGUUAUCUAUGUCAGUGAAGACCCAGAUGUGUUUUUCAAGGAAUAUUUGUCCUCUGCAGCUGAGGAUGCAGAGAGGGACAUCGCCACCACAGUCAUGGGGAUUUACACAGUCCGAAGAGAUGGACAUAAGGAGCCAGAGGACGUGGGAGUUGUGAUUGAGGGCACAAAAGUCCUCAACAAUGUUAGCAGCGUCAUCAUGGGGUUCAUCAUGCUGUUUGGGCUCAUUUAUGCCCUUGAUCUAGCCUUUCCCGAAAACCUCAAGUAUACAUUUGAGUUUUUCCAGAAGAUCAUUAUGAACUUGGAUGGACACAAACUAAAUGCAAAGAUACAGCAGCUGAAAAUCAAGCUGUUUUCACAAGUGGCAAACACUGUAUCCACACAGUCAGUGACGGUCAGCAUGGAUGUUUUUCUUGUAAAAAUAUGUUAACUACUUGUGUAGCACAUUUUGAAGUGUGUUCCUAAAUCAAAUCAAAUCAAAUCAAAUCAAAUCAAAUCAAUUUUAUUUGUA